UCCGAGGUCCCAAGUAGCACCUGGUGUGAGUUAGAGGGCCUAAAGCGCAGCAUAAACUUUCUGACUCAGCAACAUAUGCAAGUGUCUGCCCUCAUCACAGACAGAAAUCGGCAGGUUGCCAAGUGUGGGUACGGGAGUUGUGUCCCAAAGGAACAAGCCAUUUCUUUGAUAUCUGGCAUAUUGGCUAAAGCCUAGGGAAAGCAUUGGAUGCUGCUGCAAAGGAGAGGGAGUGUGAAGAUCUGAAGCUGUGGAGGCCAGCUAUUAUUAACCAUCUCUACUGGACUGCAGCUUCCACCCCUAAUGGAGAUGCAGAUGUGAUGGAGGCCAGGUGGAGAAGCAUGGUCAACCAUGUUCAGGAGCAAGGAACAAGGAGUGGCUGGAACCAGGAUCCGGAGAGUGUAGUGUAGUCACUAGGACAGCGCUGGUAAAGGAUGUUCGACAGUUGUCCCCUCAGCAUCAGACUUUUUCACUGGAGGCAUUUCACUCCCUGAUCCUGCACUUUGCAACAAAGCACACUGGGUUCUCCGGUUCUCCUUCCUUGGGAUGCACAGCAGACUUCUCUUGGCAGCCCUGCAUUUCAACCACAAUGGCAGCAGAGAGGUAGCUUGAACCAGUGAUGGUGAGGCAUGUUAUGCGGUUCGCUACCCAAGGUUCCGCAAAGGUGGCUGGGUAGUCCGUCCUGUUAAGGAAAAGCCAUCAUAUGCAUAUGCAUCAGCCCUCAUGGAGUCUCUGAGAGAGGAAUACUCUAGGUCACCACAGGCUCUACGAGAACACAGCGCAGUUUUGUCUUCCUCUACACCUGCUCCCCUUUCCAGAUCCCUCCAGAGGAUCAACAAGGAUGAGGCUGUUGGCGUGUAUCUAUCACAGCAUUCACGAUUUAACACGUUAAUUACACCUUAGUAAGAUACC